CAGCCUUAGAGAUCACCUGCUUUUGAGAGUUUCCAGGGAGCCCUGAGCCUCAGAAAAGCAAAGAGAGCCACAUUGUGGUGUUUGGGGAGAGAAGGAAUCCAGAGAAUGGUGUUUGAUUCCUGUGAUUCUCAGCAGCCUCCCAUUGCGGGAGGUUGCUAACCGAGCAGAGGGGAAAAAGAGAAGGGAGCCCUGGCAGCUUCAGGCAGUGCACUGAGGUAGAAUUGAGCAAGGACUUAAAAUGGAAAGCAAGAGCAUCCAGUAGCUGAUUUCUUUUUAAAGUCUGAUGGAAGUCAUAUGAAGAUGUAUAUCAUCUUUUUGAAUUACAUGAAUACUGGCUGGU
ensembl:lncRNA